CAGCGAGGUCGGUUCCACGUGUUAGAGGUGUUGGUCUGCGUCUCCUUUACUAAGUCCUGAGCGUGAGGAACCUUCCCCCUCUUCUUCAGCUCGGGGAACUUUUCAGAGACCUGGAAACAUCGGUGUUCAUGAGAGAAGAUGAAAAGUAAGAAGAAAAUGAAAGUAAAGGGAGAAACGUGGAGGAGAAAAGAAGCAAAAAUGCAAAGCAGAGCAACAUUUUUAAAAAGUAAAGGAAGGACAAGAGGGACACAAGAAUAAAAGCCUGGCCACACUUGCAGGACUUGGAGAAGCAGGGCGCCUUUAAGGUUCGGGAUAAUAAAGCAACACUGGCUGUUGGAUGCUGACAGGACCUGAACUGCUGCCUCUCACACGUUUUGUUGAUGCAUCCAUCCACCGCGACCUCCACACUCGCUCCUGACGUGACAGACGUUAAUAUCCACAUGGCCACAAGAGGUCCUCGUGUUGGUUGGAUUAACCUGUUAGGUGGCCCCGGGGCAAUGACCCCUACUGACCCCCCACCUACUGCCCUCAAUGCAAUGUCACCUCCAAGUUCCCAUUAAGCCCAGUGUAACCAGUAUGCUGUGUAUCCAGUGUAUCUUAUGAUGGCAUAAUACUUUAUUAGUGUUAGUAUGUGGUAAUUUAAUUAAACAUAUCUUUAUUAGGAAUAUGGAUCAUGUGACCGCAGUAUAAACUAAAAUAAUAAAACUCUUACAGCUAGAUUUUGAUAUAGGGUCCCUUUACAAGACAUGGCCACAACUCUAGAUGUGAAAAUUCCCUAAAAAUGUGCGAUUAAUCAAAUUGUCAUAACCAACUGACAUGUAGUGGACCUGGGGCUUUUGCAGCCCCUCGUGGUCUGGGGCCCUGGUAGCAAACAGGUCAUUUUAGGUAUUUGAACAAACGACUGAUGCUGUCGUUUUGCUGGUGAGGACAGUGUCCUGCCCACAGCUCAGCCUUGUGUUCAGCGGCCUCUGUGGUCUUUGUUGAGGACCGAGGUUUGAACUGUAAAUCACCUAGUCACAAGCCGACCUCUGUCCCCAAACUAGACAGUUUAGACUGAAGCGGCCCGCCGCCUGAUCCCAAUCAGUGAGGUGAGGUAAAGGGAGUGUCGGCUUUCAGGGUCGCUGCCUCUGUCUUUUCAAAGAGGAGAUGGAAAACCCCCAAAACUUGUGGUUAAAAGACUAACCCCCCCCCUCCCCGCCUGUGACCUGUCUGACCCCACGGCUGAGUCAAACCCUAAAUGCGCCUGAUUCCCAACCGGUUUCACAUCAGAGUUCAAGGUCAAACCCAAACAAGAGCAUUAGCUCCCUACAUAGAAUAUCUCGUAUGUUUUCUUGUUUUACUGAGACAGUUUGUAUCAAUAAACACAGGGUGUUUAGCUCGCUUGUUAAUUCUUUUGCUGCUCGCGUGUUCAUGUGUAAUUUCAGAGCAGACAAUGGAAGUCCUGUCAGGAGACUGUGUGACGACUUUGGGAAAGUAAAAAAAAAAAAAUUAAAAUAAUAAAAACAACCCUCGGGACAAUUAGUCUGUCACUUUCUGCUGAGAGUGCAAGAAGUCGGUGAUGAGACAUGAAACACCCAAAGAGCCCAAAGGCAUCGUAGAUGCUUCUUCAUGCUGGGAACAUGUGUGAUGGUGGUGGAGGAGGAGGAGGAGGGGGGGCGUCCAUUACAAGUAUGGACAUAUCUAGCUUCUGGUUACAGUGAUGACAAGAUCUGUGAGCAGCAGUGUAGGGGAUCUGACAGAGAAACAUGUCUGCACACGGUGUGUCUGAAGAGCGUCUCCAGUCUAACAACAAAUCCACCACCAUCACCCCCCACCAGGUCACCGUGCUUUAGUUUGACACGACCAAGAACCUGGAGGGAGCCGGAAGGCAGUCGGGACAUUUUCACUGCUGGUUUGACUAAGAAACCUUUGACAGAGUCCAGCUUCAAGUCCACUUUCAACCAAAAUACAUCUUCAGGAGGAGAGAGACCCUCAAUUUAAUGCCUUAAAUGCAAAGUUGUAGUAGUUAACCACAGUACAGUCAGGUAUUUCUGCUACUUCACUUGCUUUUUUUCCAUUUUGUGAGACUUUCCACUUUCCCUCCACUACAUUUUAGAGGAUAUAUUGUAUUUUUUACAGUGUCUUUCAUUCUUUCCUUCAUUUUAUUCCUUCCAUCUUUCAGUCCUCCUUUCCCCCUAUUCUUUUUCAUAAGAAACCACAAAAAUCCUGAUAGUAAAACUAACAUUUUACUGCUAAUAUACUGCUAAUAACUUAUUAUCUUUUAUUGAAGUAAAAAAAAAAUGAACGCAGGACUUUCACACUGUGGUACUACUACGUAUUUGUAAAGGAUCUGACUACUACUUCUAUCAUAAAAGAUAAGGUAUGGUAUAUUUGAUAUUUUUAUUAUUCACUGAAUAUAUCCACUAACAAGUGUUGUGUGUGUAUCGCAGCCUGAUAUAUCUUCUUCCUGUGAGCCUUAGAGCUCCAUCGUUGUCCAGAAACUAUUAAAAACACAUCAGCGAGCCGAACUCUUGCACUGUUGACAUGUUCCUUCAUCACCACGAACACACACACUGUAGUUUAUUCUGACUCCAAACACUCGCUAGUGGAUUGAU